UAUGCUUCAGAAUUUGAUAUUGUAAGUAUAGUUAUUUACUCAUUUGGUCCUUGCAGGAUAUAGCUCCUUUGAAAAUGUAUUGCGUUCUCUCUCUCUCUCUCUCUCUCUCUCUCUCUCUCUCUCCUUUCUGUCUCUCUGUUUUUGUGUUUGUGUGUAUUUCUCUGUCUUUCUUAAAAUCUAGAACCACAAUAAGGUCUUAGAAAUCUUUUACAUAAGCCUCUUUGAAACUAUAGCAAAAUGUUUAGGAUAAGAUCCAGUAAGAAAGAAAGAAAUCUGGUGUUGAGAUAAUCCAUUCAGUGAAGGAUGCUAGAAACUAGUGAGAUGUAUUAAUCAAGAUCCUUCAAGAUAAGAAAUGGUACAUUUAGUGCUUGCAGUGAGUUAUCUAUGAGGGAGUGAUGAAUCCAUCCUAAAUCUCUUGGUUUGAUUUCAUUCACUUUUGCUGAUCACCCAUUUUAGCCAGGUAAAUUGGGAAAGACGACGACAUAUAUGAUUAAAUGCCUUUCCUUAUGGUAGUCAUGACCUCAAUAUCAUCAUUUAUAGCUCACAUAUAAAAGACUAUUUUAUUUUUAAAAACAGUUUUAUACAAUUAUUAAAUACUUAAAAACUUUUCCUCUGUAUUUUUGAAAAAAAAACCAAACAUUUCACUGUCAAUUAUUAUACAUUCUCGAGAAUGGAUAUAUGAAUAGGUAGGUAUCAAAUACAUUUAGAUUCAUAAGACACAACUUUGUCUCUUUAAAACUAUGUAUUCUUUAUUCACAAAAACUGAUCCCCCCCAAAAAAAUGGAAUUAUUUUCCACUUUGGGUCUAAUUAUUAGAAAACAUCCAUUUGUUUUAAAGUGAACUAUGGAAAGUGUGAAAGGAAUUUAAAGAGAAGAAGUAAGGACAAGAAACUAAGUCACUUGUAAUUAUUAUGAUAAUGUGUAAUUACAUUACAUUGAUAGAUUUUGGUAAAAUAUAUAAAAUAUCUAUUUUUGAGUACUGUUCUUUAUCUAGAAUAAAGCAUAACACUAAUAACAUUUAUAUAUCUUCCUUGCAAAUCUAAGAUCUUUUUUGGAAAAAAGGAAAUAAACAGUUAAUUAGAAUGUAACUUUAUUUUGAGCAAUCAAGAAAGACUUCUUAGAUUAAAAGGUUGCAAUCAAUUUCUGUUUUGACAAUUUAAAAAAAUGGACAUUUCCUAAUUGAUACUUUUAUAGGUAUCCUGUUCUACUAAGAAUAAUGAUUAAAAAACCCUUAAAUAUUUUAUUCUUCUGCUGGGCAGAAGGCAUACAACCUUUUUAAUGUACUUUUAUUGGGGGGAGGUGUUAUUAUAUGAUGUGUAGGGAUUUUUUUUUAAACCUGUUUUCUGUGGCAGUGCCUCAGUAAAAUGGUUUAUAUGGAGUCAAAUCUCUAUAUCAGGCUAGGGCUUGCUAUCCAAGUAUUGAAGUGAUUUCAAGAAAUAAGGAGGAACAUGAGACACACUGGAGGGCCAGAAAAGAGAAUAAUAAUGAUGUGAUAGCAAAGUUGUAUUUCACUUAUUCCUGUGAAUAUUUCUUGUUGGUACCAAUGGUACUGUACAAAGUGAAUGUUAUAGCCACAGCUUUUUCUUUAAAAGGAACACUGUCAAGAAUGAAAACACUUUUAUCUGCUCAAAAUUAGGUUGCAUUUGGUAUUUUCCUGAUAUUUGUGUGCAAUUUGCUUUGAGAGAAGAUUUGUUAUAUUUGUGAUAAAGAAAUAUGUCAAAGAGAAUAUUAAUACUAUAUUAAUAUACUCUCUAAUAAUAGGAUGCAGCCAAAACCCCUUAAUAGUUUCAGAAGGUAGCCAUUUUGAAGAUAAAUUAUUUUUUUUUGAGAAAAGGGAAAUUUCAUCUCAAAGAAACAACUGUUGUGCCUUUUUAUGUAUUUUUUUCAUGAGAGAGUCCAAAACCAAAGUUAAUUUUCAAUCUCUGAAAAUAAAUAUGACUCUUAGAAUUUUAAAAAAGAAAUGUAAGCCAUGAGAAAUCUUUUGGACGGUGUAAAUCUUGACAGUGUGCCUUUUAAAUAGGCUUAUUUCCAUUUGCACAGAAAGUGUUUAUCUUUGAGAACCCAUAAGUAGAAUACUGUGGAUAUUACAACCAUUUGUCUUGCAUGUAAAUAGAAAAAUAAUAAUGCUGCCUAUUGAAUGGGUGUAGCUGGAAGCUUACCCAAACAAGGGAACACUGUGGUUAUGACUUGUAUUAUAAAUUUUCUGUAAUUAAUGGCAUCAUUAUUGGUUAAUAAAGUUAUUUUUG
ensembl:lncRNA